CCUCGUGUGCAGGUUUUCAGCUAAUCUUUAAUCACUUUAUAAGUUUGGUGCCAGUUGUGGAUUUUAGAUUGACAAAAAAUAGUGAUUAUUUUCAUCUGCUGCACUCGUUGAUAUCCUUGAGGGAUAAUUAUUUUGUUGUUUGGCUAUGUAGAACUAGUUUGGGAAACAAUCUUCUUUCCAAAGCCAAGCUCCAAGUUUCGACUUGAACCAGAUCUCGGUAAAGAAGAAGAAUUCCAGAAUAAUUAUGAGCUAUUGAGGUUCGAAGAGCCAAAGAAAGGUUUGAUCAACGAAGACCAAGGUCUCAUAAAAGGCAGAAUAGAUGAUCAAUGGGUUCUUAUCUAAUCUUUCUUCUGUUUUAUUGUUUGGUUGCAUUUGUUCUUGAAGAUUUCCUCUUCUUUUUUUUUCUUCUAAUUUUAAAGACCCAUUUGGGAGAAUGUUGAUGAAAUUGUGACAUUGUUGAAACCCAAAAUUUCGAUGUUCAAAUUCAGUUGUUAUUUUUGUUUUUUGAUUGGUAAUUUGGUAUACACAUGUUCUUUUUUAUUUUGUUUUA
rnacentral:lncRNA from 1 species